UGGCGGACGGGUGAGUAACGCGUGGGUAACCUGCCUUACACAGGGGGAUAACACCUGGAAACAGGUGCUAAUACCGCAUAAGCGCACAGGGCCGCAUGGCCCGGUGUGAAAAACUCCGGUGGUGUAAGAUGGACCCGCGUCUGAUUAGCUUGUUGGCGGGGUAGGGGCCCACCAAGGCGACGAUCAGUAGCCGGCCUGAGAGGGUGGACGGCCACAUUGGGACUGAGACACGGCCCAAACUCCUACGGGAGGCAGCAG
rnacentral:rRNA from 1 species